GACGAACGCUGGCGGCAUGCCUAAUACAUGCAAGUCGAGCGAACAGAUGAAGUGCUUGCACUUCUGACGUUAGCGGCGAACGGGUGAGUAACACGUAAGGAAUCUACCUAUAAGCGGGGGAUAACAUUCGGAAACGGGUGCUAAUACCGCAUAAUAUCUUCUUCCGCAUGGAAGAAGAUUGAAAGACGGCUCUGCUGUCACUUAUAGAUGACCUUGCGGUGCAUUAGUUAGUUGGUGGGGUAAUGGCCUACCAAGACGAUGAUGCAUAGCCGACCUGGGAGAGUGAUCGGCAACAUUGGGACUGAGACACGGCCCAAACUCCUACGGGAGGCAGCAGUAGGGAAUCUUCCGCAAUGGGCGAAAGCCUGACGGAGCAAUGCCGCGUGAGUGAAGAAGGCCUUCGGGUCGUAAAACUCUGUUAUAAGAGAAGAACAAAUUGUAGAGUAACUGCUACAGUCUUGACGGUAUCUUAUCAGAAAGCCACGGCUAACUACGUGCCAGCCGCCGCAGUAA
rnacentral:rRNA from 1 species